GCCUCGGUAGCGCAGUAGGCAGCGCGUCAGUCUCAUAAUCUGAAGGUCAUGAGUUCGAACCUCACCCGGGCA
rnacentral:tRNA from 1 species